rnacentral:rRNA from 1 species
UCUGGUUGAUCCCGCCGGACAUGACUGCUAUCGGAUUGAUACUAAGCCAUGCGAGUCAUUGUAUACAAGGCAGACGGCUCAGUAACGCGUAGUCAACGUAACCUAUGGACGGGAAUAACCUCGGGAAACUGAGAAUAAUGCCCGAUAGAACAUUAUACCUGGAAGGUUUAUGUUCCAAAUGAUUUAUCGCCGGGAUGGGACUGCGGCCUAUCAGUUUGUUGGUGAGGUAAUGGCCCACCAAGACUAUUACAGGUACGGGCUCUGAGAGGAGUAGCCCGGAGAUGGGUACUGAGACACGGACCCAGGCCCUAUGGGGCGCAGCAGGCGAGAAAACUUUGCAAUGUGCGAAAGCACGACAAGGUUAAUCCGAGUGGUUUUGCUAAACGAACUUUUGUCAGUCCUAGAAACACUAACGAAUAAGGGGUGGGCAAUUCUGGUGUCAGCCGCCGCGGUAAAACCAGCACCUCAAGUGGUCAGGAUGAUUAUUGGGCCUAAAGCAUCCGUAGCCGGCUCUGUAAGUUUUCGGUUAAAUCUGUACGCUUAACGUACAGGCUGCCGGGAAUACUGCAUAGCUAGGAAGUGGGAGAGGUAGACGGUACUCGGUAGGAAGGGGUAAAAUCCUUUGAUCUAUUGAUGACCACCUGUGGCGAAGGCGGUCUACCAGAACACGUUCGACGGUGAGGGAUGAAAGCUGGGGGAGCAAACCGGAUUAGAUACCCGGGUAGUCCCAGCUGUAAACUAUGCAAACUCAGUGAUGCAUUGGCUUGUGGCCAAUGCAGUGCUGCAGGGAAGCCGUUAAGUUUGCCGCCUGGGAAGUACGUACGCAAGUAUGAAACUUAAAGGAAUUGGCGGGGGAGCACCACAAGGGGUGAAGCCUGCGGUUCAAAUGGAGUCAACGCC